rnacentral:lncRNA from 1 species
ACCAUUUUCAAGUAACUACACUUAAUCAUUUUCAAGUCACUAGUAUACAUUUCAAGUCACUACACUUAACCAUUUUCAAAUAACUAGUAGACAUUUCAAGUCACUACACUUAACCAUUUUCAAAUAACUAAUUCACAUUUCAAGUCACUACACUUAACCAUUUUCAAAUAAUUAAUUCACAUUUCAAGUCACUAUACUUAACCAUUUUCAAGUAACUACUUCACAUUUAAAAUAACUAUACUUAACCGCGUUCAAGUCACCACACUUAAUCAUUCAUUUCAUGUCACUAUACUUAAUCAUUUUCAAGUAACUAAUUCACAUUUAAAAUAACUAUACUUAACCGUUUUCAAGUCACUACACUAAUCAUUCAUUUCAAGUCACUAUACUUAACCACUUUCAAGUAACUAAUUCACAUUUCAAGUAACUACACUUAACCAUUUUCAAGUCACUAGUAACCGUUUUCAAGUCACAAGUUUGCAAUUUCAAAUAACUACACUAAACCAUUUUCAAGUCACUACAUUUAAUAAUUUUCAAAUAACUUAUUCACAUUUCAAGUCACUACACUCGAAUCAUUUUCAAAUAGCUAAUUGACAUUUCAAGUCACUGUACUUAACCAUUUUCAAGUAACUACACUUAACCAUUUUCAAGUCAUGUACUAGCAUUUCAAGUCACUACACUUA